rnacentral:rRNA from 1 species
UGAUCAUGGCUCAGAUUGAACGCUGGCGGCAGGCCUAACACAUGCAAGUCGAGCGGUAGCGGGAAGAGCUUGCUCUUUGCCGACGAGCGGCGGACGGGUGCGUAACACGUAGGAAUCUGCCCGGUAGUGGGGGAUAGCCCGGAGAAAUCCGGAUUAAUACCGCAUACGCCCUAAGGGGGAAAGCAGGGGAUCUUCGGACCUUGCGCUAUCGGAUGAGCCUGCGUCGGAUUAGCUUGUUGGUGGGGUAAAGGCCUACCAAGGCGACGAUCCGUAGCUGGUCUGAGAGGAUGAUCAGCCACACUGGGACUGAGACACGGCCCAGACUCCUACGGGAGGCAGCAGA